AAUCUCAGCACAAUGAACACUUGUUUCCAGAGCUAAGCUAUUUUCUUAGUCGACGUGGCCUGGGCACCAAAUCCAAUUCAAAUGAAACUUAGGUACAUGGCGGAAGUUUUCCUGUAGCAAAGCACUUUCUGCUUCUCAUUGACACAAGAAAUAAGGUGAUUAUUCAAAGGAAGUAGACAAAACGGGAAUGAAAUUAGGCAAACAGGACAUUUGAGAAACUGUCGAAGAUUCCCGUGUGGUGCAAACUCGACAACGACAAACAGAGGGCCUGAAACACAUUACUUAUGGAAAUUAUUAGUCAGAGAUGAUAAUCUGGUAAGCUAAGGUGGCGGCCACGGACGAGGAUAGACCUAAUCAGCACGUCAUCGCUCACAGGGCACACAUGUAGCUCAUGGGUCGCACAGAGAGAGAUUCCAACAGCCACAUGGGAUAUGUUGCUGGGGUGGUUACUGGCUACCCGCAUAAGCGACAGUGGUAAUGACGGCUGUUAUUCUAAGGCACGUUGCAGUUCUUAACCAUUUAACUCCUAAGAGUGGCUAAGAAGUGAUCCUUCUAACCAUAUCAUUACAUUGCCAAGCAAAAGGUGAUUG